UUGGAAGACAGCCAACUGCUGGUGUAUUGC
rnacentral:piRNA from 1 species